CAGACGGGUGAGUAACGCGUGGGAAUCUACCCUUUUCUACGGAAUAACGCAGGGAAACUUGUGCUAAUACCGUAUGUGUCCUUCGGGAGAAAGAUUUAUCGGGAAAGGAUGAGCCCGCGUUGGAUUAGCUAGUUGGUGGGGUAAAGGCCUACCAAGGCGACGAUCCAUAGCUGGUCUGAGAGGAUGAUCAGCCACAUUGGGACUGAGACACGGCCCAAACUCCUACGGGAGGCAGCAGUGGGGAAUAUUGGACAAUGGGCGCAAGCCUGAUCCAGCCAUGCCGCGUGAGUGAUGAAGGCCCUAGGGUUGUAAAGCUCUUUCACCGGAGAAGAUAAUGACGGUAUCCGGAGAAGAAGCCCCGGCUAACUUCGUGCCAGCAGCCGCGGUAAUACGAAGGGGGCUAGCGUUGUUCGGAAUUACUGGGCGUAAAGCGCACGUAGGCGGAUCGAUCAGUCAGGGGUGAAAUCCCAGGGCUCAACCCUGGAACUGCCUUUGAUACUGUCGAUCUGGAGUAUGGAAGAGGUGAGUGGAAUUCCGAGUGUAGAGGUGAAAUUCGUAGAUAUUCGGAGGAACACCAGUGGCGAAGGCGGCUCACUGGUCCAUACUGACG
rnacentral:rRNA from 1 species